AGGACGAACGCUGGCGGCGUGCUUAACACAUGCAAGUCGAGCGGAAAGGCCCUUCGGGGUACUCGAGCGGCGAACGGGUGAGUAACACGUGAGCAACCUGCCCUUGGCUCUGGGAUAGCCUCCGGAAACGGGGAUUAAUACCGGACAUUCACUUUCUCCUGCAUGGGGGUUGGUGGAAAGUUUUUCGGCCAGGGAGGGGCUCGCGGCCUAUCAGCUUGUUGGCGGGGUAACGGCCCACCAAGGCGACAACGGGUAGCCGGCCUGAGAGGGCGAUCGGCCACACUGGGACUGAGACACGGCCCAGACUCCUACGGGAGGCAGCAGUGGGGAAUAUUGCACAAUGGGCGCAAGCCUGAUGCAGCGACGCCGCGUGGGGGAUGAAGGCCUUCGGGUUGUAACCCUUUCACCAGGAGCGAAUUCAGACGGUACCGUGGGGAAGAGCGCCGGCUAACUACGUGCCAGCAGCAGC
rnacentral:rRNA from 1 species